UACGUAGGGGCCAAGCGUUGUCCGGAUUUAUUGGGCGUAAAGAGCUCGUAGGCGGUUGGGUAAGUCGGGUGUGAAAACUCCAGGCUCAACUUGGAGAUGCCACCCGAUACUGCUCUGACUUGAGUUCGGUAGGGGAGUGGGGGAUUCCUGGUGUAGCGGUGAAAUGCGCAGAUAUCAGGAGGAACACCGGUGGCGAAGGCGCCACUCUGGGCCGAAACUGACGCUGAGGAGCGAAAGCGUGGGUAGCAAACAGG
rnacentral:rRNA from 1 species